rnacentral:rRNA from 1 species
UGGCUCAGAUUGAACGCUGGCGGCAUGCCUUACACAUGCAAGUCGAACGGCAGCAUAGGAGCUUGCUCCUGAUGGCGAGUGGCGAACGGGUGAGUAAUAUAUCGGAACGUGCCCUAGAGUGGGGGAUAACUAGUCGAAAGAUUAGCUAAUACCGCAUACGAUCUACGGAUGAAAGUGGGGGAUCGCAAGACCUCAUGCUCCUGGAGCGGCCGAUAUCUGAUUAGCUAGUUGGUGGGGUAAAAGCCUACCAAGGCGACGAUCAGUAGCUGGUCUGAGAGGACGACCAGCCACACUGGGACUGAGACACGGCCCAGACUCCUACGGGAGGCAGCAGUGGGGAAUUUUGGACAAUGGGGGCAACCCUGAUCCAGCAAUGCCGCGUGAGUGAAGAAGGCCUUCGGGUUGUAAAGCUCUUUUGUCAGGGAAGAAACGGUUUUGGCUAAUAUCCARRACUAAUGACGGUACCUGAAGAAUAAGCACCGGCUAACUACGUGCCAGCAGCCGCGGUAAUACGUAGGGUGCAAGCGUUAAUCGGAAUUACUGGGCGUAAAGCGUGCGCAGGCGGUUGUGUAAGACAGAUGUGAAAUCCCCGGGCUCAACCUGGGAAUUGCAUUUGUGACUGCACGGCUAGAGUGUGUCAGAGGGGGGUAGAAUUCCACGUGUAGCAGUGAAAUGCGUAGAUAUGUGGAGGAAUACCGAUGGCGAAGGCAGCCCCCUGGGAUAACACUGACGCUCAU